UAGGGAAUCUUCCGCAAUGGACGCAAGUCUGACGGAGCAACGCCGCGUGAGUGAAGAAGGAUUUCGGUUCGUAAAACUCUGUUGUUAGAGAAGAACAGCGCAUAGAGUAACUGUUAUGCGUGUGACGGUAUCUAACCAGAAAGCCACGGCUAACUACGUGCCAGCAGCCGCGGUAAUACGUAGGUGGCAAGCGUUGUCCGGAUUUAUUGGGCGUAAAGCGAGCGCAGGCGGUCAAUUAAGUCUGAUGUGAAAGCCCCCGGCUCAACCGGGGAGGGUCAUUGGAAACUGGUUGACUUGAGUGCAGAAGAGGAGAGUGGAAUUCCGUGUGUAGCGGUGAAAUGCAUAGAUAUAUGGAGGAACACCAGUGGCGAAGGCGACUCUCUGGUCUGUAACUGACGCUGAGGCUCGAAAGCGUGGGUAGCAAACAGG
rnacentral:rRNA from 1 species